rnacentral:rRNA from 1 species
UCAAGUUAUUAAGGGUGCAGGGCGGAUGCCUUGGCACUAGGAGCCGAUGAAGGACGUGAUAAGCUGCGAUAAGCUUCGGGGAGUUGCACGUAAACUUUGAUCCGAAGAUUUCCGAAUGAGGAAACUCACUUAGAGUAAUGUCUAAGUAUCAUUAAGUGAAUACAUAGCUUAAUGAGGGGAACUCAGGGAACUGAAACAUCUAAGUACCUGAAGGAAGAGAAAGAAAUUCGAUUCCGUAAGUAGCGGCGAGCGAACGCGGAUUAGCCCAAACCAAUAAAGUUUUCUUUAUUGGGGUUGCGGACAUAUCAUAACGAAGAGGUAUCGUAAUUGAAGAGGUUUGGAAAGACCCACCACAGAAGGUAAUAGUCCUGUAUGUUAAACGAGAAGACUUCAGAUAUGAUCCAGAGUACCACGGGACACGUGAAACCCUGUGGGAAGCAGGAGGGACCACCCUCCAAGGCUAAAUACUACCUAGUGACCGAUAGCGUAUAGUACCGUGAGGGAAAGGUGAAAAGAACCCCGGGAGGGGAGUGAAAUAGAACCUGAAACCCUGCACUUACAAGCUGUGGAAGCACAUUUCUUGUGUGACCGCGUACUUUUUGUAGAACGGGCCAACGAGUUACGUUAAGUAGCAAGGUUAAGCACUUAAGGUGCGGAGCCGUAGCGAAAGCGAGUUUUAACUGAGCGUUCAGUUACUUGACGUAGACCCGAAACCGGGCGACCUACCCAUGAGCAGGAUGAAGCGAAAGUAAAAUUUCGUGGAGGUCCGAACCCACGAGCGUUGAAAAGCUCGGGGAUGACUUGUGGGUAGCGGUGAAAUUCCAAUCGAGCCCGGAGAUAGCUGGUUCUCCCCGAAAUAGCUUUAGGGCUAGCCUCAAGGUGAGAGAUACGGAGGUAGAGCACUGAAUGUCCUAGGGGGUAUUGCACCUACCGAAGACUAUCAAACUCCGAAUGCCGUCAUCUUAUACUUGGGAGUCAGACUGUGGGUGAUAAGAUUCAUAGUCGAAAGGGCAACAGCCCAGAUCGUCAGCUAAGGUCCCUAAAUGUAAGUUAAGUGGUAAAGGAUGUGGGAUUGCACAGACAACCAGGAUGUUGGCUUAGAAGCAGCCACUCAUUCAAAGAGUGCGUAAUAGCUCACUGGUCGAGUGAUCCUGCGCCGAAGAUUUCCGGGGCUAAAACUUACUACCGAAGCUACGGCAUCAUUAUGAUGGGUAGGGGAGCUUCCUAUACGGGUUGAAGCAUGACCGUAAGGACAUGUGGACAGUAUGGGAGUGAGAAUGUUGGCAUGAGUAGCGAGAUGUGGGUGAGAAUCCCACAGGCCGUAAACCCAAGGUUUCCAGGGGAAGGUUCGUCCGCCCUGGGUUAGUCGGGACCUAAGCUGAGGCCGAAAGGCGUAGGUGAUGGACAACAGGUUGAUAUUCCUGUACUACCGAUAACCGUUUGAGAGAAGGGAUGACACAGUAGGAUAAGCUAAGCACACUGUUGGUUAUGUGUGCCCAAGCAUUGAGGCAGUCAAAGUAGGCAAAUCCGCUUUGAUAAUGCUGGGAUGUGAUGGGGAGCGAAAUUUAGUAGCGAAGUAGCUGAUUUCACACUGUCAAGAAAAGUCUCUAUCGAGGUUAAAGGUACCCGUACCGCAAACCGACACAGGUGGGUGAGGAGAGUAUCCUAAGGCCAGCGAGAGAACUGUUGUUAAGGAACUCGGCAAAAUGACCCCGUAACUUAGGGAUAAGGGGUGCCACCAUCCGGUGGCCGCAGAGAAUAGGCCCAAGCGACUGUUUACCAAAAACAUAGGUUUCUGCUAAGUCGCAAGACGAUGUAUAGGAGCUGACGCCUGCCCGGUGCUGGAAGGUUAAGGGGAUCUGUUAGAGCAAUCGAAGCAGUGAACUUAAGCCCCAGUAAACGGCGGCCGUAACUAUAACGGUCCUAAGGUAGCGAAAUUCCUUGUCGGGUAAGUUCCGACCCGCACGAAAGGCGUAACGAUUUGGGCACUGUCUCAACAACAGACUCGGUGAAAUUGUAAUUCCGGUGAAGAUGCCGGAUACCUGCGACAGGACGGAAAGACCCCAUGGAGCUUUACUGUAGCUUGACAUUGGGUCUUGGUACUACAUGUACAGGAUAGGUGGGAGGCUUUGAAACCAGGACGCCAGUUUUGGCGGAGCCAUCCUUGGGAUACCACCCUUGUAGUACUGGGACUCUAACCAUAGGCCAUGAAUCUGGUCUUGGGACACUGUCAGGUGGGCAGUUUGACUGGGGCGGUCGCCUCCCAAAAGGUAACGGAGGCGCUCAAAGGUUCUCUCAGUACGGUCGGAAAUCGUACGUAGAGUGUAAAGGCAAAAGAGAGCUUGAUUGCAAGACAUACAGGUCGAGCAAGGAUGAAAAUCGGACUUAGUGAUCCGGUGGUUCUGCGUGGAAGGGCCAUCGCUCAACGGAUAAAAGCUACCCUGGGGAUAACAGGCUUAUCUCCCCCAAGAGUCCACAUCGACGGGGAGGUUUGGCACCUCGAUGUCGGCUCAUCACAUCCUGGGGCUGUAGUAGGUCCCAAGGGUUGGGCUGUUCGCCCAUUAAAGUGGUACGCGAGCUGGGUUCAGAACGUCGUGAGACAGUUCGGUCCCUAUCCGUCGCAGGCGUAGGAAAUUUGAGAAGACCUGUCCUUAGUACGAGAGGACCGGGAUGGACGUACCUCUGGUGUACCAGUUGUCCUGCCAAGGGCAUGGCUGGGUAGCUAUGUACGGAAUGGAUAAGCGCUGAAAGCAUCUAAGCGCGAAGCCAACUUCAAGAUAAGAUUUCCCACCGCAAGGGUAAGACCCCAGAAAGACUAUCUGGUUGAUAGGUCGAAGGUGUAAGUGCAGCAAUGUAUUUAGCUUAUCGAUACUAAUAGGUCGAGGACUUGACCAA